rnacentral:ncRNA from 1 species
UGAAUUUUUACUUUUUGAGUUUUCAGGACCUCAGUUCUAUUUUGUUGGUUUUCUAAGCGCGAGGUAAUGAUUAAGAGGGACAGACGGGGGCAUUCGUACUGUGCCGUUAGAGGUGAAAUUCUUGGAUCGGCGCAAGACGAACGACUGCGAAAGCAUUUGCCAAGAAUGUUUUCUUUAAUCAAA